UCAGAGCGUGGCUGAGACAGUUAAGCAUCUCCCUUACACCGAGAAAACAUCCAUGCAAAUUGGAUCGCCCUGAGC
rnacentral:tRNA from 1 species